UUUUCUGAGCCCUAAUACUUUAUUGUGAGAAUAUUAUUCGUCGCUUCUAGGGAUUUACUAUGGAAAAUACAGUGAAACGUAAUGUGAGAUAUCAAAAAUGUACUACUUGUGGUCUAAAGAGGACCCCUGGACUGGAGCCAAUGUAUUUUUGAAGAAGUUUCCACUUGAUCCAGAUCGUUUUCAAGAUAUAACAAAUUCAGAGAAUGUGCAAUGGAAUGAAAAUAUUUUAUCUAAAA
rnacentral:misc_RNA from 1 species